UCCCUGGUGGCUCAGACGGUAAAGCAUCUGCCUACAAUGCAGGAGACCAGGGUUCAAUCCCUGGAUUGGGAA
rnacentral:tRNA from 1 species